rnacentral:rRNA from 1 species
GAAUGGAGCUGACGUAUCUUGUGCGUAUUCAAUCCCGCGACACUGCAAUCGCUUCGACGACAUUCCGCAAGGUUGUCUAGGAGUGUUGUUGUUGUGCUCGUUGGAUGCAUUUGCGUGCGGAGUGCGCCGAGUGGGUCGAUGUCGCUGCCGGAAGGGCGUAUAGAGGACUCGGGUUUUCGGACUCGAGAAUCCUGUGCGUUCGGAUAGCAGGUGAUGUUGGCUCGCUGUUGUGGAGUGCGGGUGAAUUCGCGAUGGGCGUCGGUUGUGAGUUGUGGUUGCGGAUGGCACAUGUGUCUUCCGUUUCCGCGGCCUACGAUCGGCGUUCGUUGCCCCGGCACUCGACUCGGUGUAUAGUCGGUCACCCAUUCGACCCGUCUUGAAACACGGACCAAGGAGUUUAAGGUGUACGCGAGUCAUUGAGCUGCGAAACUCAAAGGCGUAAUGAAAGUGAGACAUUGGAUGUCGACGAUGUGAGCGUUGGGCGUUUCGACGUCCGGCGCGCAACAUCGCCCCGUGACUAGGACUUGUUCUGUUGCGGAGGUUGAGCGUACGCUUUGAGACCCGAAAGAUGGUGAACUAUGCCCGAACAGGAUGAAGCCAGAGGAAACUCUGGUGGAAGUCCGAAG